rnacentral:rRNA from 1 species
GUCCACGCCGUAAACGAUGUCUACUAGCCGUUGGGACUCUUGAAGUCUUAGUGGCGCAGCUAACGCACUAAGUAGACCGCCUGGGGAGUACGGCCGCAAGGUUAAAACUCAAAGGAAUUGACGGGGGCCCGCACAAGCGGUGGAGCAUGUGGUUUAAUUCGAUGCAACGCGAAGAACCUUACCAGGCCUUGACAUCCUGAGAACUUUCUAGAGAUAGAUCGGUGCCUUCGGGAAUUCAGUGAC